rnacentral:rRNA from 1 species
UACGUAGGGUGCAAGCGUUGUCCGGAAUUAUUGGGCGUAAAGAGCUCGUAGGCGGUCUGUCGCGUCGGCUGUGAAAACCCGGAGCUCAACUCCGGGCCUGCAGUCGAUACGGGCAGACUGGAGUUCGGCAGGGGAGACUGGAAUUCCUGGUGUAGCGGUGAAAUGCGCAGAUAUCAGGAGGAACACCGGUGGCGAAGGCGGAUCUCUGGGCCAUUACUGACGCUGAGGAGCGAAAGCGUGGGGAGCGAACAGG